GUCAGCCUAACACUCACCUGGGUGUUUUGUUUUGCCUCAGCAAACUCCAGUAGACAAACCAUGUGAGAGAAACAGCGCAAUCUCUGAUUGCCAGAGCCAUGGUAGCAAGAGUCCUAAUGUGACUGUAACACGGAAGCUGCACCUUUGCAUGUAAAACUUGUUCCAUCUAGUCUCUGUGGGAUUGUUACACUGGUCGAGAAGCACAGGUGUCAAUAAUAUACAGUAAUGGGCAUUAAUGAGCACCUGUGUAAUGAGGCAAGACGACAAAAUGUGGGAGGAGAAGAAAAGCAUACAUGUGAGUAGUCUGCAUUUAGGAGUUAAGAGAAAUGACCCAGUAGGACAGCAACUCUCAUCUCUAUUGGUUGGUCACCUCCAGCUUCUGAGCCCAUGUGAAUUUUGUUCCUCACGGAAAUGUUGCUUCACCUGCAAGUCUGACUUUAAUUUAAUGCAUGUUUACCAUGGUCACUGUAGCUACUCUGUGCAAAUAUCUCUGUGUUGGUGAAGGUGGUAACUCAGGCUGCUUCACAAGUGGAGAGUGAUUUAAGUAACAAAUAAAAAUAUUUCUUAGCUAGGCACAAACAGUCCAGGAGGCUUCUGCACAGCACGGAUGACACCUUUUUCACACAGGCAGUGGAGGAGCCAAUGAAGAGUGGUGUGCUGCUGGACCUUGCACUAACAGAGAAGGAUUGGUUGGAGAUGUAAAGGUUGGCAGCAGUCUUGGCUGCAGUGACCAUGAGAUGGUGGAGUUCAGGAGCCUUGUGUGGAGGAAGCAUGGCAAUGAGUAGGAUUGCAAUCCUGGACUUCAGGAGCGCAGACUUUGGUCUCACCAGGGACCUGCUUGGAGGAAUCCCAUGGGUUAGGGCCCUAGCAGGAAGGGGUGUCCAAGACAGCUGGCUAAUAUCCAAGCAUCGCUUCCUCCAAGCCCAACAGCAGUCCACCCCUAUGAGGGAGAAGUCAAGCAAGGGGGGCAGGAGGCCUGCAAGGAUGAGCAAGGAGCUCCUGGCCUAACUCAAACAGGAAAAGGAAGGAUACAGAAAGUGGAAGAAGGGACAGGCCACUUGGGAGGAAUAUAGGAACGCUCUCAGAGUAUGCUGCAAUAUGAUGAGGAAGGCCAAGCCCUAUUUGGAAUUAAAUCUGGCAAGGGACGUCAAGGGAGACAAGAAGAGAUUCUUCAAAUACACUGGUAAUGAGGAAAACUAGGGAAAAUGAAGGCACACCACCACUGAGGCUGCCAUGCCAGAGAUGCUAGAACUUCUACACCAACUGGAGUCAAAGACAGCCAAGUGGUGUGCCACAAUUGAUAUUGCUAAUGUGUUUUUCUUGAUCCCUUUGGCAGCAGAGUUAAGUUUCUUCCUAGUAGCUCAUACAGGGUUCUGUUUAGGAUGAGAAUAAUGCUGUUAACAUGCUGAUGUUUCAGUUGUUGCUGAGCGGUGCUUACGCUAAGUCAAGGCCUUCUCAGCUUCUCAUGCUGCCCUGCCAACGAGGAGGCUGGGGGUGCACAAGUUGCUGGGAGGGGACACAGCCAGGACAGCUGGCCCAAGGGGGCCAGACGGGUGUCCCAUACCACAUGGCAUCAUGCUGGACAAUAAGAACAGGUGAGUUGGCCUGUGGUCACAUUCUCUGUCUGGUGGCUCGUCAUCAUACUCCCUGGCUGUCUGGCUGGGGAUCAGUAAGUAUUUCUAGCAAAAUCAAAGUAUAAGUAAC